UUAAGCGACUAAGCGUACACGGUGGAUGCCCUGGCAGUCAGAGGCGAUGAAGGACGUGCUAAUCUGCGAUAAGCGUCGGUAAGGUGAUAUGAACCGUUAUAACCGGCGAUUUCCGAAUGGGGAAACCCAGUGUGAUUCGUCACACUAUCAUUAACUGAAUCCAUAGGUUAAUGAGGCGAACCGGGGGAACUGAAACAUCUAAGUACCCCGAGGAAAAGAAAUCAACCGAGAUUCCCCCAGUAGCGGCGAGCGAACGGGGAGCAGCCCAGAGCCUGAAUCAGUGUGUGUGUUAGUGGAAGCGUCUGGAAAGGCGCGCGAUACAGGGUGACAGCCCCGUACACAAAAAUGCACAUGCUGUGAGCUCGAUGAGUAGGGCGGGACACGUGGUAUCCUGUCUGAAUAUGGGGGGACCAUCCUCCAAGGCUAAAUACUCCUGACUGACCGAUAGUGAACCAGUACCGUGAGGGAAAGGCGAAAAGAACCCCGGCGAGGGGAGUGAAAAAGAACCUGAAACCGUGUACGUACAAGCAGUGGGAGCACGCUUAGGCGUGUGACUGCGUACCUUUUGUAUAAUGGGUCAGCGACUUAUAUUCUGUAGCAAGGUUAACCGAAUAGGGGAGCCGAAGGGAAACCGAGUCUUAACUGGGCGUUAAGUUGCAGGGUAUAGACCCGAAACCCGGUGAUCUAGCCAUGGGCAGGUUGAAGGUUGGGUAACACUAACUGGAGGACCGAACCGACUAAUGUUGAAAAAUUAGCGGAUGACUUGUGGCUGGGGGUGAAAGGCCAAUCAAACCGGGAGAUAGCUGGUUCUCCCCGAAAGCUAUUUAGGUAGCGCCUCGUGAAUUCAUCUCCGGGGGUAGAGCACUGUUUCGGCAAGGGGGUCAUCCCGACUUACCAACCCGAUGCAAACUGCGAAUACCGGAGAAUGUUAUCACGGGAGACACACGGCGGGUGCUAACGUCCGUCGUGAAGAGGGAAACAACCCAGACCGCCAGCUAAGGUCCCAAAGUCAUGGUUAAGUGGGAAACGAUGUGGGAAGGCCCAGACAGCCAGGAUGUUGGCUUAGAAGCAGCCAUCAUUUAAAGAAAGCGUAAUAGCUCACUGGUCGAGUCGGCCUGCGCGGAAGAUGUAACGGGGCUAAACCAUGCACCGAAGCUGCGGCAGCGACGCUGAUGCGUUGUUGGGUAGGGGAGCGUUCUGUAAGCCUGUGAAGGUGUACUGUGAGGUAUGCUGGAGGUAUCAGAAGUGCGAAUGCUGACAUAAGUAACGAUAAAGCGGGUGAAAAGCCCGCUCGCCGGAAGACCAAGGGUUCCUGUCCAACGUUAAUCGGGGCAGGGUGAGUCGACCCCUAAGGCGAGGCCGAAAGGCGUAGUCGAUGGGAAACAGGUUAAUAUUCCUGUACUUGGUGUUACUGCGAAGGGGGGACGGAGAAGGCUAUGUUGGCCGGGCGACGGUUGUCCCGGUUUAAGCGUGUAGGCUGGUUUUCCAGGCAAAUCCGGAAAAUCAAGGCUGAGGCGUGAUGACGAGGCACUACGGUGCUGAAGCAACAAAUGCCCUGCUUCCAGGAAAAGCCUCUAAGCAUCAGGUAACAUCAAAUCGUACCCCAAACCGACACAGGUGGUCAGGUAGAGAAUACCAAGGCGCUUGAGAGAACUCGGGUGAAGGAACUAGGCAAAAUGGUGCCGUAACUUCGGGAGAAGGCACGCUGAUAUGUAGGUGAAGUCCCUCGCGGAUGGAGCUGAAAUCAGUCGAAGAUACCAGCUGGCUGCAACUGUUUAUUAAAAACACAGCACUGUGCAAACACGAAAGUGGACGUAUACGGUGUGACGCCUGCCCGGUGCCGGAAGGUUAAUUGAUGGGGUUAGCGCAAGCGAAGCUCUUGAUCGAAGCCCCGGUAAACGGCGGCCGUAACUAUAACGGUCCUAAGGUAGCGAAAUUCCUUGUCGGGUAAGUUCCGACCUGCACGAAUGGCGUAAUGAUGGCCAGGCUGUCUCCACCCGAGACUCAGUGAAAUUGAACUCGCUGUGAAGAUGCAGUGUACCCGCGGCAAGACGGAAAGACCCCGUGAACCUUUACUAUAGCUUGACACUGAACAUUGAGCCUUGAUGUGUAGGAUAGGUGGGAGGCUUGGAAGUGUGGACGCCAGUCUGCAUGGAGCCGACCUUGAAAUACCACCCUUUAAUGUUUGAUGUUCUAACGUGGACCCGUGAUCCGGGUUGCGGACAGUGUCUGGUGGGUAGUUUGACUGGGGCGGUCUCCUCCUAAAGAGUAACGGAGGAGCACGAAGGUUGGCUAAUCCUGGUCGGACAUCAGGAGGUUAGUGCAAUGGCAUAAGCCAGCUUGACUGCGAGCGUGACGGCGCGAGCAGGUGCGAAAGCAGGUCAUAGUGAUCCGGUGGUUCUGAAUGGAAGGGCCAUCGCUCAACGGAUAAAAGGUACUCCGGGGAUAACAGGCUGAUACCGCCCAAGAGUUCAUAUCGACGGCGGUGUUUGGCACCUCGAUGUCGGCUCAUCACAUCCUGGGGCUGAAGUAGGUCCCAAGGGUAUGGCUGUUCGCCAUUUAAAGUGGUACGCGAGCUGGGUUUAGAACGUCGUGAGACAGUUCGGUCCCUAUCUGCCGUGGGCGCUGGAGAACUGAGGGGGGCUGCUCCUAGUACGAGAGGACCGGAGUGGACGCAUCACUGGUGUUCGGGUUGUCAUGCCAAUGGCACUGCCCGGUAGCUAAAUGCGGAAGAGAUAAGUGCUGAAAGCAUCUAAGCACGAAACUUGCCCCGAGAUGAGUUCUCCCUGACUCCUUGAGAGUCCUGAAGGAACGUUGAAGACGACGACGUUGAUAGGCCGGGUGUGUAAGCGCAGCGAUGCGUUGAGCUAACCGGUACUAAUGAACCGUGAGGCUUAACCU
rnacentral:rRNA from 1 species